AUGGCUCAGCUUUUUAGGCGGGGGCACGCCUAACACAUGCAAGUCGAACGGUAUCAGGAAGCAGCUUGCUGCUUUGCUGACGAGUGGCGGACGGGUGAGUAAUGUCUGGGAAACUGCCUGAUGGAGGGGGAUAACUACUGGAAACGGUGGCUAAUACCGCAUAACGUCGCAAGACCAAAGAGGGGGACCUUCGGGCCUCUUGCCAUCAGAUGUGCCCAGAUGGGAUUAGCUUGUUGGUGAGGUAACGGCUCACCAAGGCGACGAUCCCUAGCUGGUCUGAGAGGAUGACCAGCCACACUGGAACUGAGACACGGUCCAGACUCCUACGGGAGGCAGCAGUGGGGAAUAUUGCACAAUGGGCGCAAGCCUGAUGCAGCCAUGCCGCGUGUAUGAAGAAGGCCUUCGGGUUGUAAAGUACUUUCAGCGGGGAGGAAGGUGUUGCGGUUAAUAACCGCAGCAAUUGACGUUACCCGCAGAAGAAGCACCGGCUAACUCCGUGCCAGCAGCCGCGGUAAUACGGAGGGUGCAAGCGUUAAUCGGAAUUACUGGGCGUAAAGCGCACGCAGGCGGUCUGUCAAGUCGGAUGUGAAAUCCCCGGGCUCAACCUGGGAACUGCAUUCGAAACUGGCAGGCUUGAGUCUUGUAGAGGGGGGUAGAAUUCCAGGUGUAGCGGUGAAAUGCGUAGAGAUCUGGAGGAAUACCGGUGGCGAAGGCGGCCCCCUGGACAAAGACUGACGCUCAGGUGCGAAAGCGUGGGGAGCAAACAGGAUUAGAUACCCUGGUAGUCCACGCCGUAAACGAUGUCUACUUGGAGGUUGUGCCCUUGAGGCGUGGCUUCCGGAGCUAACGCGUUAAGUAGACCGCCUGGGGAGUACGGCCGCAAGGUUAAAACUCAAAUGAAUUGACGGGGGCCCGCACAAGCGGUGGAGCAUGUGGUUUAAUUCGAUGCAACGCGAAGAACCUUACCUGGUCUUGACAUCCACAGAAGAAUCCAGAGAUGGAUUUGUGCCUUCGGGAACUGUGAGACAGGUGCUGCAUGGCUGUCGUCAGCUCGUGUUGUGAAAUGUUGGGUUAAGUCCCGCAACGAGCGCAACCCUUAUCCUUUGUUGCCAGCGAUUAGGUCGGGAACUCAAAGGAGACUGCCAGUGAUAAACUGGAGGAAGGUGGGGAUGACGUCAAGUCAUCAUGGCCCUUACGACCAGGGCUACACACGUGCUACAAUGGCGCAUACAAAGAGAAGCGACCUCGCGAGAGCAAGCGGACCUCAUAAAGUGCGUCGUAGUCCGGAUUGGAGUCUGCAACUCGACUCCAUGAAGUCGGAAUCGCUAGUAAUCGUGGAUCAGAAUGCCACGGUGAAUACGUUCCCGGGCCUUGUACACACCGCCCGUCACACCAUGGGAGUGGGUUGCAAAAGAAGUAGGUAGCUUAACCUUCGGGAGGGCGCUUACCACUUUGUGAUUCAUGACUGGGGUGAAGUCGUAACAAGG
rnacentral:rRNA from 1 species